rnacentral:rRNA from 1 species
CAGUCGCCGCGGGAAUACAGAGGUCUCAAGCGUUGUUCGGAUUCAUUGGGCGUAAAGGGUGCGUAGGUGGCGGUGUAAGUCUAACGUGAAAUCUCGGGGCUCAACCUCGAAAUUGCGUCGGAUACUGCAUUGCUAGAGGAUUGUAGAGGAGAGUGGAAUUCAUGGUGUAGCAGUGAAAUGCGUAGAUAUCAUGAGGAAGACCAGUUGCGAAGGCGACUCUCUGGGCAAUUCCUGACACUGAGGCACGAAGGCUAGGGGAGCAAACGGGAUUAGAUACCCGCGUAGUCCCUGUCUCUUAUAC